UUGAAUGACCGGUCCCCUCAGAAG
rnacentral:piRNA from 1 species